UACGUAGGGCGCGAGCGUUGUCCGGAUUUAUUGGGCGUAAAGAGCUCGUAGGCGGUUUGUCGCGUCGAACGUGAAAACUCGGGGCUCAACUCCGAGCUUGCAUUCGAUACGGGCAGGCUAGAGUUCGGUAGGGGAGACUGGAAUUCCUGGUGUAGCGGUGAAAUGCGCAGAUAUCAGGAGGAACACCGGUGGCGAAGGCGGGACUCUGGGCCGAUACUGACGCUGAGGAGCGAAAGCGUGGGGAGCGAACAGG
rnacentral:rRNA from 1 species